rnacentral:rRNA from 1 species
UACGUAGGGUGCAAGCGUUGUCCGGAAUUAUUGGGCGUAAAGAGCUCGUAGGCGGUCUGUCGCGUUGGAUGUGAAAACCCAGGGCUCAACCCUGGGCCUGCAUUCGAUACGGGCAGACUAGAGUUCGGUAGGGGAGACUGGAAUUCCUGGUGUAGCGGUGAAAUGCGCAGAUAUCAGGAGGAACACCGGUGGCGAAGGCGGGUCUCUGGGCCGAAACUGACGCUGAGGAGCGAAAGCGUGGGGAGCAAACAGG